UACGGAGGGGGCUAGCGUUGUUCGGAAUUACUGGGCGUAAAGCGCGCGUAGGCGGACCUGCAAGUCGGGGGUGAAAGCCCGAGGCUCAACCUCGGAACUGCCUUCGAUACUGCGGGUCUCGAGUCCGGGAGAGGUGAGUGGAAUUCCUAGUGUAGAGGUGAAAUUCGUAGAUAUUCGCAAGGACACCAGUGGCGAAGGCGGCUCACUGGCCCGGUACUGACGCUGAGGCACGAAAGCGUGGGGAGCAAACAGG
rnacentral:rRNA from 1 species